UACGUAGGGCGCGAGCGUUGUCCGGAAUUAUUGGGCGUAAAGAGUUCGUAGGCGGCCUGUUGCGUCCGCUGUGAAAUCCCAGGGCUCAACCCUGGGCGUGCAGUGGAUACGGGCAGGCUGGAGGCAGGCAGGGGAGAACGGAAUUCCCGGUGUAGCGGUGAAAUGCGCAGAUAUCUGGAGGAACACCGGUGGCGAAGGCGGCAUCCUGGACCGACACUGACGCUGAGGAGCGAAAGCCAGGGGAGCAAACGGG
rnacentral:rRNA from 1 species